AAGCCUUUCAUACUCUGAACAUCAGUGUAAAUCAUGUCAGCCUUUAAGGGAAUCUCAGACCUCCAGAACCAAGCUCAACAGAAGACACAAGAAGCUGCAAACCAAGGACAACAAGUGAUCCAAGAUUGUGUUGAUAAAGGAAAAGAAGUAGGACAACAAGUUAUUGACCAAGGAUGUGACGCUGCCCAGAAAACAUGUGACCAGGUGUCCGGACAAGUUAAAGAAAAGAUUCCCGGGGGGUGGCGGAAAUAAGUACAUUUAUUAAAGGGACAGUAAAGUCAUAAUUAGACAUUCAUGAUUUAGACAGAACAUACAAUUUUAAACAACUUUCCAAUUUACUUCUAUUAUUUAAUGUGCUUCCUUCUCUUGUUAUCCUUUUUUAAGGUUUAUCUAGGUAAGAUCAGGAGCAGCAAAGAACCUAAGUUCUAGCUGCUGAUUGGUGGCUGAAUAUAUAUGCCUAUUUUCAUUGUCUCACCCAUGUGUUCAGUUAGAAACCAGUAGUGCAUUGCUGCUACUUCAACAAAUGAUACCAAGAGAAUGAAACACAUUUGAUAAUAGAAGUAAACUUGUAUGUUCUAUCUAAAUCAUGAACGAAAAAUUGCUGUGUAUUUGUUGAGUGUUUCUUAACUACUUGUUAAAUAUAAAUGAAUGUAUUGAUAAAAACAGAAAAACAACCAGCUUUUCUCUUUAUGUAGAUCAAUGUAGUGUGUCACUGAGUAAUAAAAUGAUGCCGUAAAUAAA